UACAGAGGUCUCAAGCGUUGUUCGGAUUCAUUGGGCGUAAAGGGUGUGUAGGCGGCGCCGUAAGUCGGGUGUGAAAUUUCGGAGCUUAACUCCGAAACUGCAUUCGAUACUGCGGUGCUUGAGGACUGGAGAGGAGACUGGAAUUUACGGUGUAGCGGUGAAAUGCGUAGAUAUCGUAAGGAAGACCAGUGGCGAAGGCGGGUCUCUGGACAGUUCCUGACGCUGAGGCACGAAGGUCAGGGGAGCAAACGGG
rnacentral:rRNA from 1 species